ACUAAGCCAUGCGAGUCAUUGUAGCAAUACAAGGCAGACGGCUCAGUAACGCGUAGUCAAUCUACCCUAUGGACGGGAAUAACCUCGGGAAACUGAGAAUAAUGCCCGAUAGAACAUUAUGCCUGGAAUGGUUUAUGUCUCAAAUGAUUUAUCGCCACAGGAUGGGACUGCGGCCUAUCAGUUUGUUGGUGAGGUAAUGGCCCACCAAGACUAUUACAGGUACGGGCUCUGAGAGGAGUAGCCCGGAGAUGGGUACUGAGACACGGACCCAGGCCCUAUGGGGCGCAGCAGGCGAGAAAACUUUGCAAUGUGCGAAAGCACGACAAGGUUAAUCCGAGUGGUUUCUGCUAAAGAAACCUUUUGUCAGUCCUAGAAACACUGGUGAAUAAGGGGUGGGCAAGUUCUGGUGUCAGCCGCCGCGGUAAAACCAGCACCUCAAGUGGUCAGGAUGAUUAUUGGGCCUAAAGCAUCCGUAGCUCGUUUUGUAAGUUUUCGGUUAAAUCCAUGCGCUUAACGUAUGGGCUGCCGGGAAUACUGCAUAACUAGGAAGUGGGAGAGGUAGACGGUACUCGGUAGGAAGGGGUAAAAUCCUUUGAUCUAUUGAUGACCACCUGUGGCGAAGGCGGUCUACCAGAACACGUUCGACGGUGAGGGAUGAAAGCUGGGGGAGCAAACCGGAUUAGAUACCCGGGUAGUCCCAGCUGUAAACUAUGCAAACUCAGUGAUGCAUUGGCUUGUGGCCAAUGCAGUGCUGCAGGGAAGCCGUUAAGUUUGCCGCCUGGGAAGUACGUACGCAAGUAUGAAACUUAAAGGAAUUGGCGGGGGAGCACCACAAGGGGUGAAGCCUGCGGUUCAAUUGGAGUCAACGCCGGGAA
rnacentral:rRNA from 1 species